rnacentral:rRNA from 1 species
GAUGAACGCUGGCGGCGUGCCUAAUACAUGCAAGUCGAGCGAACGGACGAGAAGCUUGCUUCUCUGAUGUUAGCGGCGGACGGGUGAGUAACACGUGGAUAACCUACCUAUAAGACUGGGAUAACUUCGGGAAACCGGAGCUAAUACCGGAUGAUAUUUUGAACCGCAUGGUUCAAAAGUGAAAGACGGUCUUGCUGUCACUUAUAGAUGGAUCCGCGCUGCAUUAGCUAGUUGGUAAGGUAACGGCUUACCAAGGCAACGAUGCAUAGCCGACCUGAGAGGGUGAUCGGACACACUGGAACUGAGACACGGUCCAGACUCCUACGGGAGGCAGCAGUAGGGAAUAUUCCGCAAUGGGCGAAAGCCUGACGGAGCAACGCCGCGUGAGUGAUGAAGGUCUUCGGAUCGUAAAACUCUGUUAUUAGGGAAGAACAGAUGUGUAAGUAACUGUGCACAUCUUGACGGUACCUAAUCAGAAAGCCACGGCUAACUACGUG